rnacentral:rRNA from 1 species
GACGAACGCUGGCGGCGCGCCUAACACAUGCAAGUCGAACGGAGUCAAGAGGAGCUUGCUUUUCUUGACUUAGUGGCGAACGGGUGAGUAACGCGUGAGUAACCUGCCCUGGAGUGGGGGACAACAGUUGGAAACGACUGCUAAUACCGCAUAAGCCCACGGAUCCGCAUGGAUCUGCGGGAAAAGGAUUUAUUCGCUUCAGGAUGGACUCGCGUCCGAUUAGCUAGUUGGUGAGGUAACGGCCCACCAAUGCGACGAUUGGUAGCCGGACUGAGAGGUUGAACGGCCACAUUGGGACUGAGACACAGCCCAGACUCCUACGGGAGGCAGCAGUGGGGGAUAUUGCACAAUGGGGGAAACCCUGAUGCAGCGACGCCGCGUGGAGGAAGAAGGUUUUCGGAUUGUAAACUCCUGUCGUUAGGGACGAUAAUGACGGUACCUAACAAGAAAGCACCGGCUAACUACGUG